UUCAACCCUCAAGCCCCCGGGCUUGGUGUUGGGGAUCGGCCGCCCUCCGGCGCGCCGGCCCCGAAAUCUAGUGGCGGUCUCGCUGUAGCCUCCUCUGCGUAGUAAUACACCUCGCACCGGAACGCAGCCUGGCCACGCCGUUAAACCCCCCACUUCUGAAGGUUGACCUCGGAUCAGGUAGGAAUACCCGCUGAACUUAA
rnacentral:misc_RNA from 1 species